rnacentral:sRNA from 1 species
GCCAGGUGUAGUGGGGCACGCCUGUAAUCCCAGUGGCUCAGGAGGCUGAGGCUGGAGGAUUACAAGUUCAAAGCCAGCCUCAG